AUUUAACGCUGGCGGCAGGCUUAACACAUGCAAGUCGAACGAGUGGCGGACGGGUGAGUAAUGCUUGGGAAUCUAGCUUAUGGAGGGGGAUAACUACGGGAAACUGUAGCUAAUACCGCUUACCAUCGGAUGAGCCCAAGUGGGAUUAGGUAGGUGGUGAGGUAAAGGCUCACCAAGCCGACGAUCUAUAGCUGGUCGGAGAGGAUGACCAGCCACACUGGGACUGAGACACGGCCCAGACUCCUACGUGAGGCAGCAGUGGGGAAUAUUGCGCAAUGGGGGCAACCUGACUCAGCCAUGCCGCGUGAAUGAAGAAGGCCUUCGGGUUGUAAAGUUCUUUCGGGAGCGAGGCGUUAACUACAGAAGAAGCACCGGCUAACUCCGUGCCAGCAGCCGCGGUAAUUC
rnacentral:rRNA from 1 species